UUGUGUUCAUCACCCUGCUCAGCAGCUAAUGUCUUGUAGCCAUUAGGGCUACAAGGUGCGCCUCCCUUAAGGAGCUGACUGUCCUUCCAGAACUGGCCUGCAGGAACAGACUUCUGUUAGGCAGAGGGCCACCGCAGCUCUGCAUAUCCCAGUCAGACAGGGGAAAGUGACAACCACAAUAGUACAAGGAAUGAACCAAGGGAAACGGGAGGCCAGAGGAGAUGGAGUGCAUCAAUCGACCCUUGACUACUGGACUCUGCGGAAAUGCCUCGGCUCUUCAACCGGAAGCAGAAACUGACCGCUGAGGACGCCGCCUAACGGCCUGCUAGAGCAAAACCAUGCCUGAAAGAACCACCACGCCGGAAAGGACCAGGCUGCUUCCGGUGAGAGCCCGAAGGAGAAAAGCCUCAGAGGGCGGGUCUCAAGGAUCAGUUUGUGCUGCGCGCCCGGCUCCGCGACGUUGCAUGCCCACUUUUGCGCAGGCGCGGGGCGACUGCUUUUGCGAACGCGUACGCAAACGCGUGCGUGCGCGCGCUCGCUCAGCAUUCGGCGCGAGACUGCUGUUUCGAGGGUAAAUCCUUUGAGCUGUAACUGGGCUUUUGUUUUCUAAACUACAACUCCCAGCAUGCUUCGACCCUCACAUUGAUACUAGGUGUGGCUUCUCAGGAUAGGGUAAAGAUAACCUUAAGGGACGAUGACGUACCAUGGAGAAAAAAAAUUGAACAUGUUGUUUGAGCGUCUCACUUGCAGAAGCCCCAGUGGCCUAAUGGAUAAGGCAUUGGCCUCCUAAGCCAGGGAUUGUGGGUUCGAGUCCCAUCUGGGGUG